AUGUGUAAUGUGUGUUAACUUUUGGUAGGCUACUCUAGCUAAUAAAGCUAGCCCCUUUAUAAUGUUAGCCUAGCUGCUACUGAUAGAUUGAGACUGACAACUUUAGUGGCGAUAACGUUACAGUUCAAAGCAUUGUGGAGAGUGACAAUAGUGUAGCUAACUGUAUAGCUACACCCUUGGUAGAUAUAUGUCUGGGCUA